rnacentral:rRNA from 1 species
CGUGGUAUACCCCACCCGUGUCUAUCUACUCUUGUUGCUUUGGCAGGCCGUGGUCUUCCACUGUGGGCUCUGCCUGCAUGUGCCUGCCAGAGGACCAAACUCUGAAUUUUAGUGAUGUCUGAGUACUAUAUAAUAGUUAAAACUUUCAACAACGGAUCUCUUGGUUCUGGCAUCGAUGAAGAACGCAGCGAAAUGCGAUAAGUAAUGUGAAUUGCAGAAUUCAGUGAAUCAUCGAAUCUUUGAACGCACAUUGCGCCCUGUGGUAUUCCGCAGGGCAUGCCUGUUCGAGCGUCAUUACAACCAAAAUUAAGCCCAGCUUAGUGUUGGGGUUCGCAGUUCUGCGGCCCUUAAUAUCAGUGGCGGUGCCUGUAGGCUCUGAGCGUAGUAAUUCUUCUCGCUAUAGAACCCUAUAAGUGUCUUGCCAAAACCCCCAUAUUUUUUCAGGUUGACCUCGGAUCAGGUAGGGAUACCCGCUGAACUUAAGCAUAUC